rnacentral:rRNA from 1 species
UGAGGAAUUUUCCGCAAUGGGCGAAAGCCUGACGGAGCGACGCCGCGUGUGGGAUGAAGGCCUUCGGGUCGUAAACCACUGUCGAAGGGGAAGAUAUUGACGGUACCCUUGGAGGAAGCCCCGGCUAACUACGUGCCAGCAGCCGCGGUAAGACGUAGGGGGCGAGCGUUAUUCGGAAUUAUUGGGCGUAAAGAGUUCGUAGGCGGUUUGAAAAGUCCGUGAAGAAAGACCUGGGCUCAACCCAGGGAACGGCACGGAUACUUUUAAACUUGAGGCAAUCAGAGGGUAAUGGAAUUCCUGGUGUAGCGGUGAAAUGCGUAGAUAUCAGGAGGAACAUCAGUGGCGAAGGCGAUUACCUGGGGUUGAACUGACGCUGAGGAACGAAAGCUAGGGGAGCAAACGGGAUUAGAUACCCCCGUAGUCC